GUUCACCCUCUUGCCAGUCUCCCUUCUCCUAGCUGGGGAGGUGGGGUGCGGUGGGGGGCGGGGCUGGGGGAG
rnacentral:miRNA from 1 species